GACGAACGCUGGCGGCGUGCUUAACACAUGCAAGUCGAACGGAAAGGCCCUGCUUUUGUGGGGUGCUCGAGUGGCGAACGGGUGAGUAACACGUGAGUAACCUGCCCUUGACUUUGGGAUAACUUCAGGAAACUGGGGCUAACACCGGAUAGGAGCUCCUGCUGCAUGGUGGGGGUUGGAAAGUUUCGGCGGUUGGGGAUGGACUCGCGGCUUAUCAGCUUGUUGGUGGGGUAGUGGCUUACCAAGGCUUUGACGGGUAGCCGGCCUGGGAGGGUGACCGGCCACAUUGGGACUGAGAUACGGCCCAGACUCCUACGGGAGGCAGCGGUGGGGAAUAUUGCACAGUGGGCGGAAGCCUGAUGCAGCAACGCCGCGUGCGGGAUGACGGCCUUCGGGUUGUAAACCGCUUUCGCCUGUGACGAAGCGUGAGUGACGGUAAUGGGUAAAGAAGCACCGGCUAACUACGUG
rnacentral:rRNA from 1 species